CAUCAGCAUCUACUCCAUAUAGACAACUAAAAAGGCACCUUUCCAUGCAGUCUUUCGAUGAGAGUGGACGACGUACCACAACCUCAUCAGCAAUGACAAGUACCAUUGGCUUUCGGGUCUUCUCCUGCCUGGAUGAUGGGAUGGGCCAUGCAUCUGUGGAGAGAAUACUCGACACCUGGCAGGAAGAGGGCAUUGAGAACAGCCAGGAGAUCCUGAAGGUGUGGCAGCUAAAAUUGAGAAAAAUGACAAACCGGAGAAGGGUUGAAAAUUUUCAAUUUUUUUUUUUUUUUGGAAACUGUGAUUUGAUUUUAUUUCUCCUUAAUGGUACUUCUGUUCACAAAGUCUCAAAGAUAAAAGGUAACUUUUUUGUAGCCCUUUUAACCAGGAGCCUUUUGUUAAGUACUUUCCAUGUUUUUAACCCCCAGAUUAUUGACAUGAGAAAUACUCUUACAAUUGUGUUUAUUUACAGGGCCAGAUAGUUUUGUCGUCGUUGUUAUUGUUUUUUGGUUUUUGGUUUUUUUUUUUUUUUU
rnacentral:sRNA from 1 species